GUCAGGAAGCUGUAGUGGAGCUGUGCUGAUACACCAGUGCUGAAUGCCAGGACACCCAUAUGCAGACACAUAUGCUGAACCAGGAGCCAGUGCUCUAGCACUCAGAGUUUUCAGGCCUUGAAUUCUGAUGGGAUGCACUGCAACCUCUGUACCCAGAGGUGGGCAUAUGAUCCAGGCUUGGGGCCAUCAAAAUACUCCGUCGACUGGACUGCUGUGAUGGCUCCAGAGUGGACACCUGACUCCGCCUGCCUGUCUGAGCCUGUGCUGGGGCUCUUGCUGGAACUAUCAGGGAUGAGUGGGAGAGUAGAGAAGAACUGUUGACCAAGAUGCCUAAGGAUGGAAGCAAAGGAUGGAAGCAAAGCACAGAGCGAGAAUGCAUGCAAAGAGGAGGGGCAGAGGAAGAGGCAGAGAGAAUCUCAAGUCGACUGUGCGCUGAGUGCAGAGCCCGAAGUGGGACUUGAUCUCAGCGCCCUGAGAUCACGACCUGAGCAGAAACCAAGAGUUGGAUGCUCAACCGACUGUACCACCCAGAUACUCACUACUGGCUGAAUUCAAAUGGGAGCCACAGGGAAGGGGGCUCUUGAUGAAGCC